rnacentral:rRNA from 1 species
AUUCCCUAGUAGCGGCGAGCGAGCGGGAAGAGCUCAAAUUUAUAAUCUGGCACCUUCGGUGUCCGAGUUGUAAUCUCUAGAAGUGUUUUCCGCGUUGGACCGCACACAAGUCUGUUGGAAUACAGCGGCAUAGUGGUGAAACCCCCGUAUAUGGUGCGGACGCCCAGCGCUUUGUGAUACACUUUCAAUGAGUCGAGUUGUUUGGGAAUGCAGCUCAAAUUGGGUGGUAAAUUCCAUCUAAAGCUAAAUAUUGGCGAGAGACCGAUAGCGAACAAGUACCGUGAGGGAAAGAUGAAAAGCACUUUGGAAAGAGAGUUAACAGUACGUGAAAUUGUUGGAAGGGAAACGCUUGAAGUCAGACUUGCUUGCCGGAGCUUGCUUCGGUUUGCAGGCCAGCAUCAGUUUUCCGGGGUGGAUAAUGACGGUUUGAAGGUAGCAGUCUCGGCUGUGUUAUAGCUUUCCGUUGGAUACAUCCUGGGGGACUGAGGAACGCAGCGUGCUUUUUGCGAAAGACUCGUCUUUUUCACGCUUAGGAUGCUGGUGGAAUGGCUUUAAACGACCCGUCUUGAACCA